rnacentral:rRNA from 1 species
CGCAUCUGUGCAUGCAGCAUAUCAAUAAGCGGAGGAAAAGAAACUAGCAAGGAUUCCCUCAGUAACGGCGAGUGAAGCGGGAAGAGCUCAAAUUUGAAAUCUUGAAAGGUCACCUUUCACGAAUUGUAGUUUAAAGAAGUGUUUUCUGUUACGAUCGUAAUAUAAGUUCUUUGGAAUAGGACAUCACAGAGGGGUGAGAAUCCCGUCUAUGAUUGCGAUUUGUAGCUUUGUGAUACACUUUCAAAGAGUCGGGUUGUUUGGGAAUGCAGCCCAAAACGGGAGGUAAAUUUCUUCUAAGGCUAAAUAUUGGCGAGAGACCGAUAGCGAACAAGUACCGUGAGGGAAAGAUGAAAAGAACUUUGAAAAGAGAGUUAAAUAGUACGUGAAAUUGUCAAAAGGGAAGCGUUUAACACCAGUGUUGUUUUCUGAAAAUCAACCUCUGUUAGCUUUAUGCAUGUUUGUUUAGACCUAAUCAGCUAUCUUGCAUGUUCUAUUGUUUGCAGUGGUGCACUUUUCAGUUUACAGGUCAACAUCAGUUUUUUUUACCGUAAAAAAGUUAAAGAAAGGUAGCUCACGGCUCCGGUCGUGAGUGUUAUAGUCUUUUUCCUAUGCGGUUGGAGAGACUGAGGUCUGCAGUGUAGGCUAUUUGGCUAGAUACUCAGGUGCUAUGUGAUACCAUUUCAUAAACAACUUGUUGAUUAUGUUUUGUCUAUUGCAUACUCGCUUGUACUAUCAUACCUACGCUUAGGAUGUUGACGAUCAGCUGAGCGCG